rnacentral:rRNA from 1 species
ACUCCUACGGGAGGCAGCAGUGGGGAAUAUUGGACAAUGGGGGCAACCCUGAUCCAGCCAUGCCGCGUGCGUGAAGAAGGCCUUAGGGUUGUAAAGCGCUUUCACUGGUGAAGAUGAUGACGUUAGCGACAGAAGAAGCACCGGCUAACUCCGUGCCAGCAGCCGCGGUAAUACGGAGGGUGCGAGCGUUAAUCGGAAUUACUGGGCGUAAAGCGCAUGCAGGUGGUUUGUUAAGUCAGAUGUGAAAGCCCGGGGCUCAACCUCGGAAUUGCAUUUGAAACUGGCAGACUAGAGUACUGUAGAGGGGGUAGAAUUUCAGGUGUAGCGGUGAAAUGCGUAGAGAUCUGAAGGAAUACCGGUGGCGAAGGCGGCCCCCUGGACAGAUACUGACACUCAGAUGCGAAAGCGUGGGGGAGCAAACAGGAUUAGAUA